GGACUACUAGGGUAUCUAAUCCUGUUUGCUCCCCUAGCUUUCGCGCCUCAGCGUCAGCAAUAGCCCAGAAAACCGUCUUCACCACCGGUGUUCUUCCACAUAUCUACGCAUUUCACCGCUACACGUGGAAUUCCGUUUUCCCUAACUAAGCUCUAGCCAAAUAGUUUCAAAUGCAGUUCCGCAAUUGAGCUACGGAAUUUCACAUCUGACUUAUUCGGCAGCCUACGCGCCCUUUACGCCCAGUAAUUCCGACCAAUGCUUGCACCCUCCGUAUUACCGCGGCUGCUGGCAC
rnacentral:rRNA from 1 species